CCUACGGGUGGCAGCAGUGAGGAAUAUUGGUCAAUGGGCGCGAGCCUGAACCAGCCACGUCGCGUGAAGGAUGACGGCCCUCUGGGUUGUACCCUUCUUUUAUAUGGGAGUAAAUUGCAGUACGUAUACUGCUUUGCAUGUACCUUCUGAAUAAGGAUCUGCUAACUCCGUGCCAGCAGCCGGGGUAAUACGGAGGGUCCGAGCGUUCUCCGGAUUUAUUGGGUUUAAAGGGUGCGUAGUCGGGUUCUUCAGGCAGCUGUGAAAGGUUGCGGCUCAACCGUGAAACUGCAGUUGAUACUGGGAACCUUGAGUACAGGAGAGGUAGGCGGAAUUCGUGGUGUAGCGGUGAAAUGCUUAGAUAUCACGAAGAACUCCGAUUGCGAAGGCAGCCUACUGGACUGUAACUGACGCUGAUGCUCGAAAGUGUGGGUAUCAAACAGGAUUAGAUACCCUUGUAGUC
rnacentral:rRNA from 1 species